rnacentral:ribozyme from 1 species
UGCCCAGCAACUCCUAUCCCUACCUCCUCGCGGUACUGGCCGGGGUACGAAGAUCGGGUAACCAACCCCCGGUGGGAACUUUGGUCGUAUGCUGACAUGGAAGG